rnacentral:rRNA from 1 species
UACGUAGGGUGCAAGCGUUGUCCGGAAUUAUUGGGCGUAAAGAGCUCGUAGGCGGUUUGUCGCGUCUGCUGUGAAAACUGGAGGCUCAACCUCCAGCCUGCAGUGGGUACGGGCAAACUAGAGUGCGGUAGGGGAGAUUGGAAUUCCUGGUGUAGCGGUGGAAUGCGCAGAUAUCAGGAGGAACACCGGUGGCGAAGGCGGAUCUCUGGGCCGAUACUGACGCUGAGGAGCGAAAGCGUGGGGAGCGAACAGG